rnacentral:rRNA from 1 species
AAUGAACGCUGGCGGCGUGCCUAACACAUGCAAGUCGAGCGAGAAAGUUUCUUCGGAAAUGAGUAAAGCGGCAAACGGGUGAGUAACGCGUAAGAAUCUGCCCUUCAAUGAGGAAUACCCUCGAGAAAUCGAGGCUAAUACUGCAUACGUCCCUUCGGGGAGAAAGAUGGCCUCUUUGCUGUCGUUGAAGGAUGAGCUUGCGUACUAUUAGCUAGUUGGUAGGGUAAAGGCCUACCAAGGCGAUGAUGGUUAACCGGCCUGAGAGGGUGUACGGUCACACUGGAACUUAGAUACGGUCCAGACUCCUACGGGAGGCAGCAGUGAGGAAUAUUGCGCAAUGGGCGAAAGCCUGACGCAGCGACGCCGCGUGGAGGAUGAAGGUCUUCGGAUUGUAAACUCCUGUUAAGUGGGAAGAAAUGCCUUCUUUUAAUAGAAGAAGGAGAUGACGGUACCAUUAAAGAAAGCACCGGCUAAACUCGUGCCAGCAGCCGCCGUAACAC